UUGCUACAUCUAGCAUUUCAUCAUUCUGUUUGUUAUAAUUUUUAUAGAUAAUUAAGCUUUAAUUAAAACUAAACUUUUUGCUUUUCAAAAUUGUUUCAUAGGACAUAUGCAGACCCUUUUGGAUGGGUCAUACUUUUUAUUGGUGACGUCUAAGCACUUUCAAGGUCUCUGCAAAUCCUGAAAUUACUUGGCUCCAUUCCUUGCUUCUUUGUCCUCAUUUCCAUCACAUGAUGUUUUGGCUCAUGGGCACAGGUGAUGGCAGAGGGGUGUCCUCAUGGCGUUUCACUCAAGGAUCCUACCAAGAAUCCAAAACUGGAACUUUUGCAGCUUAAGAAUCAGUGAUUGAAUGAUUAUAAGCUGGUUAUAAGAUGUAUGAAGAGCAUACUAAAAAUGAAUUCCAGCCCUCCCUCCAACCUUUUAUAUAUUGACAGUUGCUUUGUUUUUUGGAAGGUUCUUGCUAACCUCGGCUACCCUGGCUGAACUUUGGGCAUUACAAACCUACACCAAAGACUGAAUUCAGGGAAAUAUCUAUCGAUUUGUUCAUUAGCAGGCACAACAAGUGGAAGAAUAGCUGAGCAGGGAGCAUCACGGUGGAUGAAGACAGUCUAAAGGAUCAGGGUUGAGACCUGCAGAGUGGUUGAUGUGGAACAAAAGCAAAGGAUUUAGGAGGUUGGUGAGAGACGCUCUGAAGUGAAGAACCAUGACAUGGAAGUUGAACUGGAUAGGAAGAGAGGAUCCCAGAGGUUCAAAAUUAUAUAAUUUCUCUGUAUGAAACUGUGCAACUAGCUUCAUGUAAAUGAGAAACAUGCUCAUCAAAUGAGAAAGAGGAUCUGGAAAGAUGUCAUCUACUUUAGUGGCUGCAGCAGUGGGAAGUGUUGUUGAAGACAGAGAGGGAGAAGAAAGGGAAAAGGAAAUGAGAGUGGGAAGGGAAGAAGAAAACUAGAGAAAAGGUCCAAAGGAUGGUAGUGAGGAUAUGGAGUGUCCUUGCUUUCUGAUUCUGGUGACAUGCUCCUUAACACAGCCAGAAGGACAAUUAUAUGGAGAAGAUGCUGCUGUCCUGGCAGAUGUCAAGAACACUGUUAGUUGCAUUUCCCUCUUGGUUACGUGGUGUUGAGGUGUCAAGAGCUGGAUUGGUCGUAACCCAUGUGGCCAUACCCCACAAGAAUGUGACAGUCUUCCUUUUCCUACAAAUUUCCCAAU